rnacentral:rRNA from 1 species
GCUAUCAGAUGAGCCUAGGUCGGAUUAGCUAGUUGGUGAGGUAAUGGCUCACCAAGGCGACGAUCCGUAACUGGUCUGAGAGGAUGAUCAGCCACACUGGAACUGAGACACGGUCCAGACUCCUACGGGAGGCAGCAGUGGGGAAUAUUGGACAAUGGGCGAAAGCCUGAUCCAGCCAUGCCGCGUGUGUGAAGAAGGUCUUCGGAUUGUAAAGCACUUUAAGUUGGGAGAGAAGGGCAGUUACCUAAUACGUGA